GGCAUGCGCAGCUACACAUGCAGUCGAGCGGUAGCACAGAGAGCUUGCUCUCGGGUGACGAGCGGCGGACGGGUGAGUAAUGUCUGGGAAACUGCCUGAUGGAGGGGGAUAACUACUGGAAACGGUAGCUAAUACCGCAUAACGUCGCAAGACCAAAGAGGGGGACCUUCGGGCCUCUUGCCAUCAGAUGUGCCCAGAUGGGAUUAGCUAGUAGGUGGGGUAACGGCUCACCUAGGCGACGAUCCCUAGCUGGUCUGAGAGGAUGACCAGCCACACUGGAACUGAGACACGGUCCAGACUCCUACGGGAGGCAGCAGUGGGGAAUAUUGCACAAUGGGCGCAAGCCUGAUGCAGCCAUGCCGCGUGUAUGAAGAAGGCCUUCGGGUUGUAAAGUACUUUCAGCGAGGAGGAAGGCAUUGUGGUUAAUAACCACAGUGAUUGACGUUACUCGCAGAAGAAGCACCGGCUAACUCUGUGAGCCAAGCCGCAAA
rnacentral:rRNA from 1 species